rnacentral:rRNA from 1 species
AUUGAACGCUGGCGGCAGGCCUAACACAUGCAAGUCGAACGGUAACAGGAAGCAGCUUGCUGCUUCGCUGACGAGUGGCGGACGGGUGAGUAAUGUCUGGGAAACUGCCUGAUGGAGGGGGAUAACUACUGGAAACGGUAGCUAAUACGCAUAACGUCGCAAGACCAAAGAGGGGGACCUUAGGGCCUCUUGCCAUCGGAUGUGCCCAGAUGGGAUUAGCUAGUAGGUGGGGUAACGGCUCACCUAGGCGACGAUCCCUAGCUGGUCUGAGAGGAUGACCAGCCACACUGGAACUGAGACACGGUCCAGACUCCUACGGGAGGCAGCAGUGGGGAAUAUUGCACAAUGGGCGCAAGCCUGAUGCAGCCAUGCCGCGUGUAUGAAGAAGGCCUUCGGGUUGUAAAGUACUUUCAGCGGGGAGGAAGGGAGUAAAGUUAAUACCUUUGCUCAUUGACGUUACCCGCAGAAGAAGCACCGGCUAACUCCGUG